UUGACCUCAGAUCAGGUAGGAAU
rnacentral:rRNA from 4 species